UUGAAAAAAAAAAAAACGAAAAAUAAAAGCAAUAGAAAAGCAAAAAACUACUUCCUCUCCUGAGGUCAUGUGAUUUAUAUAAACAGACGUCGGCCAUCUUGUCUUCAUUCAGGCGCGUUCGGGAGAACUUGGCCGUUAGCCAGAAGCGAACUAGCGGCUACUUUGCUAGCUCGAGCUAACGUUAGUUAAAGUUAAUAUAGCUUAGGACUAGCUCGGCGACCGAUAAGGUUAACGGAGUAACCGCAGUAACCUUUGAGAAGCUUUGUGAAGAGGUAAGAAUGAAGGAGCAGGUGGCUAAUACCACUGCUAGCUUCACAGAAGAGAGAGAGACCACAGGGCGGCAGUGCACGGCCACGGACAUCCGCGGAGGAGUCCAUUAGCGCCACCAAGCCUUAACUGUGAAUUCAACUAUCAAAUAAAGUCUCCUGGACUGCUUUUGUACAGCAAACUGACGGUAUGCGGUGGAAGCUGUGCACCAAAUCGCCGCAGGACUGCGCCAAACCAGACACAAAUCAGUGGGAAAUCAUCAGAGGUGACCAAUUGGAUGACUCACAAGAACACAACAAGACAAACCCGAACAAGAAAACCUAAAAUCAGCCAUCACGGACCACUGUAAAAGAAAUAACCACAUUAUGGACCGGGAGAAGGGGAGGAUCAUAACAUCGGAGGCUAACAAAUACAAACAAUGGAUUAAGGAGGCCAUAAAGAUCAGGAAGCAGGCGAGACGUUCCAUGAACCAGGACGAUGGGGCCUUCAGCUUCUCGCAUACCUGGGAGUCCAUCCUCAAGAGACCAUCGGACAGCAGGGGGCGUGACCGGUCCGACAGAUUCAG